AAGUGCCAUAAUUAUUUUCUGGCUGUCCACACCAAAUAUAACACAACAUUAACAGUGUUAUUUACUAAACUGAAAAUGCAAAGUGAAUUUAAAAUCCGCUAAAAUGGAAAAAGUCAGCUAUGCUUUCAGUUUGACUAAUAUGGCCUUACAUUUGAAAUUGUUUUUAAAAUAUCUUACAAUUCUCACUUUAGUGGGGAUGGGACCCAAGCCUCGUGGCAGCUGGUCA